rnacentral:rRNA from 1 species
GACGAACGCUGGCGGCGUGCUUAACACAUGCAAGUCGAACGGAAAGGCCCUGCUUUUGUGGGGUGCUCGAGUGGCGAACGGGUGAGUAACACGUGAGUAACCUGCCCUUGACUUUGGGAUAACUUCAGGAAACUGGGGCUAAUACCGGAUAGGAGCUCCUGCUGCAUGGUGGGGGUUGGAAAGUUUCGGCGGUUGGGGAUGGACUCGCGGCUUAUCAGCUUGUUGGUGGGGUAGUGGCUUACCAAGGCUUUGACGGGUAGCCGGCCUGAGAGGGUGACCGGCCACAUUGGGACUGAGAUACGGCCCAGACUCCUACGGGAGGCAGCAGUGGGGAAUAUUGCACAAUGGGCGGAGGCCUGAUGCAGCAACGCCGCGUGCGGGAUGACGGCCUUCGGGUUGUAAACCGCUUUCGCCUGUGACGAAGCGUGAGUGACGGUAAUGGGUAAAGAAGCACCGGCUAACUACGUA